rnacentral:rRNA from 1 species
GAUGAACGCUGGCGGCGUGCCUAAUACAUGCAAGUCGAGCGAACGGACGAGAAGCUUGCUUCUCUGAUGUUAGCGGCGGACGGGUGAGUAACACGUGGAUAACCUACCUAUAAGACUGGGAUAACUUCGGGAAACCGGAGCUAAUACCGGAUAAUAUUUUGAACCGCAUGGUUCAAAAGUGAAAGACGGUCUUGCUGUCACUUAUAGAUGGAUCCGCGCUGCAUUAGCUAGUUGGUAAGGUAACGGCUUACCAAGGCAACGAUGCAUAGCCGACCUGAGAGGGUGAUCGGCCACACUGGAACUGAGACACGGUCCAGACUCCUACGGGAGGCAGCAGUAGGGAAUCUUCCGCAAUGGGCGAAAGCCUGACGGAGCAACGCCGCGUGAGUGAUGAAGGUCUUCGGAUCGUAAAACUCUGUUAUUAGGGAAGAACAUAUGUGUAAGUAGCUGUGCACAUCUUGACGGUACCUAAUCAGAAAGCCACGGCUAACUACGU